rnacentral:rRNA from 1 species
AUUGAACGCUGGCGGCGUGCUUAACACAUGCAAGUCGAGCGGUAACAGGCGUAGCAAUACGUGCUGACGAGCGGCGAACGGGUGCGUAAUACAUGGGAAUCUGCCUAGUAGUGGGGAAUAACCCGGCGAAAGCCGGGCUAAUGCCGCAUACGAUCCACGGAUGAAAGCGGGGGACCUUCGGGCCUCGCGCUAUUGGAUGAGCCCAUGUCGGAUUAGCUAGNGGUGAGGUAACGACUCACCAAGGCGACGAUCCGUAGCUGGUCUGAGAGGACGGCCAGCCACACUGGGACUGAGACACGGCCCAGACUCCUACGGGAGGCAGCAGUGGGAAUAUUGGACAAUGGGGCAACCCUGAUCCAGCGACGCCGCGUGUGUGAAGAAGGCCUGCGGGUU